rnacentral:rRNA from 1 species
GACGAACGCUGGCGGCGUGCUUAACACAUGCAAGUCGAACGGAAAGGCCCUGCUUUUGUGGGGUGCUCGAGUGGCGAACGGGUGAGUAACACGUGAGUAACCUGCCCUUGACUUUGGGAUAACUUCAGGAAACUGGGGCUAAUACCGGAUAGGAGCUCCUGCUGCAUGGUGGGGGUUGGAAAGUUUCGGCGGUUGGGGAUGGACUCGCGGCUUAUCAGCUUGUUGGUGGGGUAGUGGCUUACCAAGGCUUUGACGGGUAGCCGGCCUGAGAGGGUGACCGGCCACAUUGGGACUGAGAUACGGCCCAGACUCCUACGGAAGGCAGCAGUGGGGAAUAUUGCACAAUGGGCGGAAGCCUGAUGCAGCAACGCCGCGUGCGGGAUAACGGCCUUCGGGUUGUAAACCGCUUUCGCCUGUGACGAAGCGUGAGUGACGGUAAUGGGUAAAGAAGCACCGGCUAACUACGUG